rnacentral:rRNA from 1 species
GACGAACGCUGGCGGCGUGCUUAACACAUGCAAGUCGAACGGAAAGGCCCUGCUUGCAGGGUACUCGCGUGGCGCACGGGUGAGUAACACGUGGGUGAUCUCUCCUGCACUUUGGGGUAAGCCUUCGGAACUGUGUCUCAUAUACGGUAGGAGCCAUCCUUCGUCAGAUGGUUGGAUAGAAUUUUCGGUGUAGGAUGGGCUCGCGGGCUAUCAGUUUGUUGGUGGGGUAAUGGCCUACCAAGGCGGCGGAGGGUAGCCGGGCUGGGAGGGUGGACGGCCAAAAUGGGGAUGGGGUACGGCCCAGACUCCUACGGGGGGCAACAGGGGGGGAUAUUGCACAAUGGGGGCAAGCCUGAUGCAACGAAGCCGCGUGGGGGGUGACGGCCUUCGGGUUGUAAACUCCUUUCGCUAGGGACGAAGCUUUUUGUGACGGUACCUAGUUAAGAAGCACCGGCUAACUACGUG